rnacentral:rRNA from 1 species
GAUGAACGCUAGCGGCAGGCCUAACACAUGCAAGUCGAGGGGUAACUAGAGUGAUAGCAAUAUUACUUUGGCUAGACCGGCGCACGGGUGCGUAACACGUAUGCAACCUACCUUAUACUGGGGAAUAACUUCGAGAAAUCGGCGCUAAUACCCCAUAACAUUGCGAAGAGGCAUCUCUUUGCAAUUAAAGCUCCGGCGGUAUAAGAUGGGCAUGCGUCCAAUUAGCUAGUUGGUGAGGUAACGGCUCACCAAGGCUACGAUUGGUAGGGGUUCUGAGAGGAUGAUCCCCCACACUGGUGCUGAGACACGGACCAGACUCCUACGGGAGGCAGCAGUGAGGAAUAUUGCGCAAUGGACGAAAGUCUGACGCAGCCAUGCCGCGUGCAGGAUGACGGCCCUAUGGGUUGUAAACUGCUUUUGUACGGGAAUAAACCCUUCUACGUGUAGGAGGCUGAAGGUACCGUAAGAAUAAGCACCGGCUAACUCCGUGCCAGCAGCCGCCGUAAUAC